ncrna:Nodularia spumigena CCY9414 HNH endonuclease-associated RNA and ORF (HEARO) RNA
GUCAGAAACCUCAGUCUAAAGGCAUGAGGCUUGAAAGAGAAAUCUAGCAAGCCGUUCUGACCAGCCUCAGCACUUCAAGUGCUAUGUUUUUUGAGUCACGAUACCGGAGGAUACGUAGCCAGUCUUCCGCUCUAUCGCUAGUGGUUAAACAGUCUUAAGGUCACUGAGACAGUGCUUCUAGCCUAACAAGCUCUUAAAACUUUGGCGAGGCUAACAUUAC